rnacentral:rRNA from 1 species
CGUCAAGCUUCCAAGAAAAGCCCUAUACCCGUUAAGGCAUGAUUACCUGUACCCGAAACCGACACAGGUGGGGUGGUAGAGAAUACCGAGGGUCGCGAGGUAACUCUCUCUAAGGAACUCGGCAAAAUGACCCCGUAACUUCGGGAGAAGGGGUGCCAGCGCGAGCUGGUCGCAGUGAAUAGGCCCAGGCGACUGUUUACCAAAAACACAGGUCUCCGCUAAGUCGCAAGACGAUGUAUGGGGGCUGACGCCUGCCCAGUGCCGGAAGGUUAAAGAAGUUGGUCAGCGCAAGCGAAGCUAACGACUGAAGCCCCGGUGAACGGCGGCCGUAACGAUAACGGUCCUAAGGUAGCGAAAUUCCUUGUCGGGUAAGUUCCGACCCGCACGAAAGGCGUAACGAUCUGGGCGCUGUCUCGGAGAGAGGCUCGGCGAAAUAGAAUUGUCUGUGAAGAUGCGGACUACGUGCACCCGGACAGAAAGACCCUAUGAAGCUUUACUGUAGCUUGGUAUUGUGCUCGGGCUCGCAAUGCGCAGGAUAGGUGGGAGGCUUUGAUCCAUUGCCUGUGGGUGAUGGUGAGCCACUGGUGAGAUACCACUCUUUGCGAGCUAGGGUUCUAACGGUUACCCGUCAUCCGGGAACCGGACAGUAUCUGGUGGGCAGUUUGACUGGGGCGGUCGCCUCCUAAAAGGUAACGGAGGCGCGCAAAGGUUUGCUCAGGCUGGUUGGAAAUCAGCCGACGAGUGUAAAAGCAGAAGCAAGCUUGACUGUGAGACCUACAAGUCGAACAGGGAGGAAACUCGGCUUUAGUGAUCCGACGGUUCUGAGUGGAAGGGCCGUCGCUCAACGGAUAAAAGUUACUCUAAGGAUAACAGGCUGAUCUCCCCCAAGAGUUCACAUCGACGGGGAGGUUUGGCACCUCGAUGUCGGCUCAUCGCAACCUGGGGCUGAAGUCGGUCCCAAGGGUUGGGCUGUUCGCCCAUUAAAGCGGUACGCGAGCUGGGUUCAGAACGUCGUGAGACAGUUCGGUCCAUAUCCGGUGCAUGCGCAGGAAUAUUGAGAGGAUUUCUCCCUAGUACGAGAGGACCGGGAGGAACGCACCUCUGGUGUACCAGUUAUCGUGCCAACGGUAAACGCUGGGUAGCCAUGUGCGGAGUGGAUAACCGCUGAAAGCAUCUAAGUGGGAAGCCCACCUCAAGAUGAGUAUUCCCAUGGCUUAAGCCAGUAAGGUCACGGGAAGAACACCCGUUGAUAGGCUCUAUGUGGAAGCGCAGUAAUGCGUGAAGCAGAGGAGUACUAAUAGACCGAGGGCUUGACC